rfam:Oryza glumipatula chromosome 2, whole genome shotgun sequence.
AAUAAAUACAGUUUUGCGAUGUUAGUGUCCAACGUUUGAUCGUUCGUCUUAUUUAAAAAAAAUAUGAUUAGUAUUUUUAUUGUUAAUAAAUGAUAAAACAUGAAUAGUAUUUUAAGUGUGACUAAUUUUUUAAAAAAAUCAUAAAAAUUUCAAAUAAAACAGACGGUCAAAAGUUGGACACGGAUAUCCAUAGUUGCACUUAUU